GAUGAACGCUAGCGGAAGGCUUAAUACAUGCAAGUCGAGCGGUAGGUGGCUUCGGCCAUUGAGAGCGGCGCACGGGUGAGUAACGCGUACAUGACCUGCCUGUCAGAAGGGGAUAGCCCUGGGAAACUGGGAUUAAUACCCUAUGGUAUUGAUAUUAUGAAUGAUAUCAAUUAAAGUUGAGGCGCUGACAGAUGGAUGUGCGUCUGAUUAGCUAGUUGGUAGGGUAACGGCCUACCAAGGCGACGAUCAGUAGGGGGCGUGAGAGCGUGGUCCCCCANACGGGUACUGAGACACGGACCCGAUCCUACGGGAGGCAGCAGUAAGGAAUAUUGGUCAAUGCCCGCAAGGGUGAACCAGCCAUUCCGCGUGGAGGAUGAAGGCCCUAUGGGUUGUAAACUUCUUUUAGAUGGGAAGAAAUGCUAGAUGUAUCUGGUACUGACGGUACCAUCAGAAUAAGCACCGGCUAACUCCGUGCCAGCAGCCGACGG
rnacentral:rRNA from 1 species